AUCAUGCCCCUUAUGACCUGGGCUACACACGUGCUACAAUGGACGGUACAGAGGGCUGCAAACCCGCGAGGGGGAGCCAAUCCCAGAAAACCGUUCCCAGUUCGGAUUGCAGGCUGCAACUCGCCUGCAUGAAGCCGGAAUCGCUAGUAAUCGUGGAUCAGCAUGCCACGGUGAAUACGUUCCCGGGUCUUGUACACACCGCCCGUCACACCACGAGAGUUUGUAACACCCGAAGUCGGUGGGGUAACCCUUACGGGAGCCAGCCGCCGAAGGUGGGACAGAUGAUUGGGGUGAAGUCGUAACAAGGUAGCCGUAUCGGAAGGUGCGGCUGGAUCACCUCCUUUCUAAGGAUACAUGUCAGCGGAACCUCCUUGCGAGGAAGAAGCUGCACAUUCGGAAAAGAACCGUUCGGUUCUUACGUUGACAUUUUGCGUUCAGUUUUGAAGGCUCAUAUAAAAAGCGGAGACGACCGUUUUGAUGCGACAAGCAUAAGAUGGCUCGACGGAGUGGCAGUUUUCGCCACGCAGACGAGACAGCUUAUGACCUCGAGCAUCAGGGAGUCGGAGCUGGAUUAUGAAAAAGCGGAACGACAGUUUUGCUGCGUCUUCAAUCUAUUCAAAAACACAUGAAGUUGACGGGCCUAUAGCUCAGCUGGUUAGAGCGCACGCCUGAUAAGCGUGAGGUCGGUGGUUCGAGUCCACUUAGGCCCACCAUAUACAUCCUCGUCAAACGGGGCCUUAGCUCAGCCGGGAGAGCGCCUGCCUUGCACGCAGGAGGUCAGCGGUUCGAUCCCGCUAGGCUCCACCAUUAAAUUGUUCCUUGAAAACUGGAUAAAACGACAUUGAAGCAACAAAUCAAGACAAUCAACCGAGCCGGACACACUUGUGAGCCGGACUGCGAUUCUUUUUCGUUCUGACGUCCAUUCAUCGCUGGAUGGCGGAAGAACAAUGACUUUAANUUCGUUAAGUGGAAAAGGAUGUGGCGCUGCCCAGACAACCAGGAUGUUGGCUUAGAAGCAGCCAUCAUUUAAAGAGUGCGUAAUAGCUCACUGGUCGAGUGGCGCUGCGCCGAAAAUGUAUCGGGGCUAAACGAAUCACCGAAACUGCGGAUUGACACCUUGGGUGUCAGUGGUAGGAGAGCGUUCCAAGGGCGUUGAAGCUGGACCGGAAGGACUGGUGGAGCGCUUGGAAGUGAGAAUGCCGGUAUGAGUAGCGAAAGAAGGGUGAGAAUCCCUUCCACCGAAUGCCUAAGGUUUCCUGAGGAAGGCUCGUCCGCUCAGGGUUAGUCAGGACCUAAGUCGAGGCCGAUAGGCGUAGACGAUGGAUAACAGGUUGAUAUUCCUGUACCACCUCCCCGCCGUUUGAGUAAUGGGGGGACGCAGAAGGAUAGGGUGAGCGCGCUGUUGGUCAUGCGCGUCCAAGCAGUGAGGUGUGGAACGAGGCAAAUCCCGUUCCUGUAACAUUGAGCUGUGACGGCAAGGGGAAGUUUCCCUGGAGUCCCUGAUUUCACACUGCCAAGAAAAGCCUCUAGCGAGGCGGGAGGUGCCUGUACCGCAAACCGACACAGGUAGGCGAGGAGAGAAUCCUAAGGUGAUCGAGAGAACUCUCGUUAAGGAACUCGGCAAAAUGACCCCGUAACUUCGGGAGAAGGGGUGCUCUGGUAGGGUGAACAGCCCGAGAGAGCCGCAGUGAAUAGGCCCAGGCGACUGUUUAGCAAAAACACAGGUCUCUGCAAAACCGUAAGGUGACGUAUAGGGGCUGACGCCUGCCCGGUGCUGGAAGGUUAAGAGGAGAGGUUAGCGCAAGCGAAGCUUCGAAUUGAAGCCCCAGUAAACGGCGGCCGUAACUAUAACGGUCCUAAGGUAGCGAAAUUCCUUGUCGGGUAAGUUCCGACCCGCACGAAAGGCGUAACGAUCUGGGCACUGUCUCAACGAGAGACUCGGUGAAAUUAUAAUAUGCGUGAAGAUGCGCAUUACCCGCGACAGGACGGAAAGACCCCGUGGAGCUUUACUGUAGCCUGAUAUUGAAUUCCGGUGCAGCCUGUACAGGAUAGGUAGGAGCCUUGGAUGCGUGAGCGCCAGCUUACGCGGAGGCAAUGGUGGGAUACUACCCUGGCUGUAUUGGACUUCUAACCCUUGCCCGUGAUCCGGGCAGGAGACAGUGUCAGGCGGACAGUUUGACUGGGGCGGUCGCCUCCUAAAAGGUAACGGAGGCGCCCAAAGGUUCCCUCAGAAUGGUUGGACAUCAUUCGAAGAGUGCAAAGGCAUAAGGGAGCUUGACUGCGAGACCGACAAGUCGAGCAGGGUCGAAAGACGGGCUUAGUGAUCCGGUGGUUCCGCAUGGAAGGGCCAUCGCUCAACGGAUAAAAGCUACCCCGGGGAUAACAGGCUUAUCUCCCCCAAGAGUCCACAUCGACGGGGAGGUUUGGCACCUCGAUGUCGGCUCAUCGCAUCCUGGGGCUGUAGUCGGUCCCAAGGGUUGGGCUGUUCGCCCAUUAAAGCGGUACGCGAGCUGGGUUCAGAACGUCGUGAGACAGUUCGGUCCCUAUCCGUCGCGGGCGCAGGAAAUUUGAGAGGAGCUGUCCUUAGUACGAGAGGACCGGGAUGGACACACCGCUGGUGUACCAGUUGUCUUGCCAAAGGCAUCGCUGGGUAGCUAUGUGUGGACGGGAUAAAUGCUGAAAGCAUCUAAGCAUGAAGCCCCCCUCGAGAUGAGAUUUCCCAUUACGCAAGUAAGUAAGAUCCCUCAAAGAUGAUGAGGUGGAUAGGUCUGGUGUGGAAGCAUGGCGACAUGUGGAGCUGACAGAUACUAAUCGAUCGAGGACUUAACC
rnacentral:rRNA from 1 species